AUGUACUGUUGAAGGUUGCCAGGGGAAUUGCAGAGGAGGAAAGGAGAAAUUACAUUUCCCUGUAACCAAAGGGAAUGACUUUUAACACCACUGUAAAGAGUGAUUCUGGAGAGAGCCAAGCCCAGAGUUCUCUUGCAGGGGUGUGGAGUUGCGGAGUGAGAGACUGACAAAAAUCUCUUCCCCCCCUUUCUUUUUUUUGGUGCUGGUGGAGUGAGGUGGUGUUUCUAGUUCUGCACAGCUGGCUCUUCAUGGAAAAAAGUCCACUAAUUGAAAUGGAGCAAAGGCCAAAAGAAGGGUCUGUGGGAACACAACAGCGUCCCUGAAACUACACACAGGCAGCCACAGCACCGAGCACCAAAGGGGUUUUGAACUUCACGAACACCGGCUCAAAAGGGUUCAAAAGGGAAGAAAGUUACCUCCAAGAUAGUUUAGUCAACCAGACAAUGGAAACACUUACAACUACCACCUGGCAGUCUCUAUGGACCUACCGGCAAGCUACCACUUCUAAGAAAACAUUUGAGUCCUUGAGUCACGACUAAGUAAACUGGGUCUCUCAGAGCUCUAUUUU